GGAGGAGAUGCUGUUCCCGAUCCGGACUGAAUGAGGUCUCACAGUCAGGAAGUCCAGGAUCCAGUUGCAGAGGGAGGUGUCCAGGCCCAGCAGGUUCAGCUUUCCAAUCAGUCUGACAUGCCUGUAAUCAGGAGGUGGUGGUGCCAUCAGUUACUACAGGCAUUUCCUCUGGCAAGCCAACGGUCAGUCACCAACCAAAUGAUCCAACUGGAUCUAAACAUCAUGGAGGUCACCCCAUCUGUGCCAG